UACGUAGGGUGCGAGCGUUAAUCGGAAUUACUGGGCGUAAAGCGUGCGCAGGCGGUUCUAUAAGACAGAUGUGAAAGCCCCGGGCUUAACCUGGGAAUGGCCGUCGAAACUGGCGAACUGGAGUGUGGCAGAGGGGGGUGGAAUUCCGCGUGUAGCAGUGAAAUGCGUAGAGAUGCGGAGGAACACCGAUGGCGAAGGCAGCCCCCCUGGGCUGACACUGACGCUCAGGCACGAAAGCGUGGGGAGCAAACAGG
rnacentral:rRNA from 1 species